CAGCCAAAGACACAGUCAAAAAUAAUGGACUUUAUGACAUUGUUGUUACUUUUGAUUGUCUGCUGUGCAGGUGUUGAUGGUCAGACUCUGACACAGUCUGAACCAGCAGUUAAAAGACCAGGAGAUUCCCACAGACUGACUUGUACAGGAUCUGGAUAUAACUUUGGAGGCUACAGUAUGGGCUGGAUCAGACAGGCUCCUGGAAAAGGGCUGGAGUGGAUUGCUCACAUUUACGGUGAUAGUAGUGGAACUUUCUACUCUGAUUCAGUCAGAGGCCGCUUUACCAUCUCCAGAGACAACAGCAAACAGCAGCUGUAUCUGCAGAUGAACAGUCUGAAGACUGAAGAUUCUGCUGUUUAUUACUGUGCUCGAGAGUCACAGUGA